AGUGCUGGCAUUACAGGUGUGUGCCACCAUGCCUAGCUAGCAAACUUUUACUUUUAUAAGACGUAUACUCUAGCCAGGGGUGGUGGUGCAUACCUUUAGUCCCGGCACUCGGGAGGCAGAGGCAGGUGGAUCUCCAUGAGUUCUAGGCCAGCCUGGUCUACAUAGUGAGUUUCAGGUCAGCUGAGGCUACAGGGAGACCCUGCCCCCCGCAAACAACAACAAAAAAACCCAAAGAAGUAUACUGUAAUAAAAAGUAAAGACAUAGAAGUACCUACUGCCGUGGUGUUGUGCUGUGGGGAAGGGAGACGGAUUUGUAAACCCCAGAGCGAGGUUCUGCCUCCCCGAGGCCCAUGGUAUUGCAGAGACCCGGGGUGAAGCCAGUGUCACCAUGUCUGACCAGGAGGCAAAACCUUCAACUGAGGACUUAGGGGAUAAGAAGGAAAGUGAAUACAUAAAACUCAAAGUCAUUGGGCAGGACAGCAGUGAGAUACACUUCAAAGUGAAAAUGACAACACAUGUCAAGAAGCUCAAAGAAUCACACUGUCAAAGACAGGGAGUUCCAGUGACUUCACUCGGGUUUCUCUUUGAAGGUCGGAGAAUUGCUGAUAAUCAGACUCCAAAAGAACUGGGCUUGGAGGAAGAACAUAUGAUUGAAGUUUACCAGAAACAAACGGGUCAUUCAACAGUUUAGAUACUCUUUUAUUUCUUUUCCCUCGAUCCUUUUUUAUUUUUAAAAAAUAGUUCUUUUGUAUUGUGUUCAAAAUGAAAAUUGAAUACUGGCACUCCAUCUCUUUAAACAUCUGGUAAUUUGAAUUCUAGUUCAAUAUUCAUUAUUGGUUGUUUUUAUUGUGCUGAUUUCCGGUGAUCCGACCUCAGCUCCCUUCAUAUUGCCCUCUUUUUGAAAAUUUCAUGUGUGCACAGAGAGGCCAUCUUUUUCAGGACUGUGCAUUUUCAGGUUUGUAGUGAUUAAGAAGAUCGACCAGAGCGAGUUUUCAUAAUGACCUUCCAGUUGGCCCUGAAAUUCUAGCAGGUGACUGCUUCACUCCUGGACUGUGAUUUUCAGUGGGAGAUGGAAGUUUUUCAGAAAACUGAACUGUGGAAAAAUGAUCUUCCUUCAUCUUGAAGCUACUUUUAAAAAUCUGAGGGUCUGGACCAAAAGAAGAUCAGAUUUAGAAUCAAGAUGACAGAUAU